AGAGUUUGAUCAUGGCUCAGGACGAACGCUGGCGGCGUGCUUAACACAUGCAAGUCGAACGAAGAGCGAUGGAAGCUUGCUUCUAUCAAUCUUAGUGGCGAACGGGUGAGUAACGCGUAAUCAACCUGCCCUUCAGGGGGGGACAACAGUUGGAAACGACUGCUAAUACCGCAUACGAUCCAAUCUCGGCAUCGAGACUGGAUGAAAGGUGGCCUCUAUUUAUAAGCUAUCGCUGAAGGAGGGGAUUGCGUCUGAUUAGCUAGUUGGAGGGGUAACGGCCCACCAAGGCGAUGAUCAGUAGCCGGUCUGAGAGGAUGAACGGCCACAUUGGGACUGAGACACGGCCCAGACUCCUACGGGGGGCAGCAG
rnacentral:rRNA from 1 species